GCCUAUGAUGAUGGAUCCAAGUUUAUGGGAUGUAGACAGCUUCAAGUCCCUUUUUUACAAGGAGAACUUACUUGGAGCUGCUACAUACAAAUGACAUCAGACUUUUUUGAGGC